rnacentral:tRNA from 1 species
CAGAGGGUAGUUUAAAUAAAAUAUUAACUUUGGGAGUUAAUGAUAAAAAAAUCUUUUUCUCUCUGA